GGCGGGAUAGCUCAGUUGGUUAGAGCGUCGGAUUCAUAACCCGGAGGUCUCGAGUUCAAUUCUCGAUCCCGCUACGA
rnacentral:tRNA from 1 species